AUUGAACGCUGGCGGCAUGCCUUACACAUGCAAGUCGAACGGCAGCGGGGGAGAAGCUUGCUUUUCCUGCCGGCGAGUGACGAACGGGUGAGUAAUACAUCGGAACGUGCCCUGUAGUGGGGGAUAACUAGUCGAAAGAUUAGCUAAUACCGCAUACGACCUGAGGGUGAAAGUGGGGGACCGCAAGGCCUCAUGCUAUAGGAGCGGCCGAUGUCUGAUUAGCUAGUUGGUGGGGUAAAGGCCUACCAAGGCGACGAUCAGUAGCUGGUCUGAGAGGACGAUCAGCCACACUGGGACUGAGACACGGCCCAGACUCCUAUGGGAGGCAGCAGUGGGGAAUUUUGGACAAUGGGCGAAAGCCUGAUCCAGCAAUGCCGCGUGUGUGAAGAAGGCCUUCGGGUUGUAAAGCACUUUUGUCCGGAAAGAAAUGGCUCUGGUUAAUACCUGGGGUCGAUGACGGUACCGGAAGAAUAAGGACCGGCUAACUACGUGCCAGCCGCCGCAGUAA
rnacentral:rRNA from 1 species